UGCCAGCCGCCGCGGUAAUACGAAGGGUGCUAGCGUUGUUCGGAAUUACUGGGCGUAAAGAGCAUGUAGGCGGAUGAAUUAGUCAGAGGUGAAAGCCCCGAGCUCAACUUGGGAACUGCCUUUGAUACUGUUUAUCUAGAGUCCGAGAGAGGUUAGUGGAAUUCCCAGUGUAGAGGUGAAAUUCGUAGAUAUUGGGAAGAACACCAGUGGCGAAGGCGGCUACCUGGACGAUGACUGACGCUGAGACCCGAAAGCGUGGGGAGCGUACAGGAUUAGAUA
rnacentral:rRNA from 1 species